CAUGUCCAUGACAUGGUCGAUAUUUUGAUUUUAAUAAUUAUACACUUCUCUUAAUAUUAAAUUAUAAUGUGAAUUUGUUUUGGCGCUUUUCAUUGGAGUACUGAGUUUUCAUGGCCACUACAAAGCAACAUCGGCCGCCCUACAACAGCGAUCCAAGAAAAGGGGAGUUGAGGCAAAAAUGACGCACCAAAUAAAAUAAAUACGCGACCACUCAUCAAGACCUACUUCACCGCCCUCUGAGCAAAGGAAACUGACGUUUGCGGGGUACCUAUACCGAGCUACAGAGCUCUUAGACAAGUGGACGCCGUAAAAUGUCUUGAACAGAAGAAUCGCUAAGAAAUAUCGACUUGUAUCUUCCCCUUGUUAAAUUAAGGCCCUGUUCUGUUUCAAGAUGGACUUAAGAAGCAAAAAGGAAAGAGUCCGAGGGGCGCUCCCCCACCUCAUCGGAAUACAGAAUAAUAAUCACCAAAAGAAACGACGGGCGGAGGAAAAAUAUAAAUAGCAAUCCACCUCCAAGAUAUUAAAAUUUGUACAAGAAAUAUCCGAGCUUGUUUCAAUUUUGUUAAAAUAAAAUUAUAUUCGCUGGC